UAUAAGAGACAGCAGGUAGCCACGGUAAUACAGAGGGUGCGAGCGUUAAUCGGAUUUACUGGGCGUAAAGCGUGCGUAGGCGGCUUUUUAAGUCGGAUGUGAAAUCCCUGAGCUUAACUUAGGAAUUGCAUUCGAUACUGGGAAGCUAGAGUAUGGGAGAGGAUGGUAGAAUUCCAGGUGUAGCGGUGAAAUGCGUAGAGAUCUGGAGGAAUACCGAUGGCGAAGGCAGCCAUCUGGCCUAAUACUGACGCUGAGGUACGAAAGCAUGGGGAGCAAACAGGAUUAGAUACCCCCGUAGUCCCUGUCUCUUAUA
rnacentral:rRNA from 1 species